UUGUUUGGCCAAUAAAGUAUAUGAACCCCUUUAUUACAGAAAAAUAAGCAGACAGUCAUACUACAGCAUGAUUUUAGAGUAGGGAAAAUACAGGAUUCUUUUGCAAAAGAAUAAAAAGCUGUCUAAUCUACUCCCUGGUGGAGAGGGUGUCAUGGAAUAUUUAUUAGAGGAAGUUGAUGACAUUUAUACCUAAAAGAUAGGAUAAGUUAUCCAACUGAGGAAACAGAGAAGACUGUUUCAGGGAGGGUGAACAGCAAAAAAAACUAGCUCAGGGGUAAAGUUAGGCCCUCCCCAUGAAAUAAGCAGGGUCUUUGGAGUUGCAUAAAAUAAUUUGGAAUUAAACCAAAGAUAAGGGGGAAAUCAAUACAGUGCUUAAAUAAAGUAGUGUCCUGAGAAGGAUUUUCUGAAGGGCAUUUAGAAGAUUGAUUCUAAAACACACAUAAGUUUCUUAAUUCUUUUAUUCUGACCUGAUGGAUUUUCUAGUCCAGCCAGUUGUACCCCUGACCUUGUGCUCUCUUUUUCUGGUAUGGCUUUCCUAGGCUCAAAAAUCCCAAAGUGCUACCCUCUAAAAUUAUGGAUAAAAGGCUCUAUUAAUAUUUAUGUCUCCUUGUGGCAGGCCACAGAUAUGAAUUAAUUACUGCAUCUGCACAGAUGUGGCCUGAUUACGCAAGGCGGAACUAAGCUAAACAGCCAGCAUGAUAAACCCAAGACUGGCAAGGUAGCAGGAGAAUUUUGAGAUAUAUUCAAGUUGAAUGCUUUUAUCGGUUCUAAGUUGUUAGUUCUUGGAGGAGAGUAUUGUUCCCUAACAAAGCCUAACACAGUGUGCAGUACACAACAAGUACUCACUAAAUAUUUGUGAGAUGAAUAAAACCAAGAAUCUUGAAUAUGUUUUAGGCCUAUCACUAUAAAAAAAUUUUAAUGUCUUAUUGUAAUUGUUCUAUUUUGUUUUGACAGGUGAUGAAAAUAAUGCUUCCCUUAGUUGAAAUUCUUAGGAAAAUGGCUCCAUAAAUAUGUAUGUAGGAUGCUAUUACUCACUCAUUAUUGACAGUUGUAUCAAGUGUGAUAUAAAACACAAUUUUCAGUGACAAUGGAAUAAUUACAGUCUUGUAGUCUUGGAAUAGCCCCUGAUCACUACUGUUGCUGAUUCUGUCAUUAUAUUUUGUGUCACCUGGUUCCCAGUGGACUGUCAACACUCUUUACAUCCUGGAAUCUGAAAUCAAUUUUGUUGAGUUAACAAAGCUACAUCAUUACAUGUAUCAACUGGGGGAUCUCAGAUAAAUUCAUAUGGGUCUGAUUAUCCUUAAAUAAACCAUAUAAACAGUAGAUUGUUAUAACUGACAAGGGAUCGUGUUCUGUCUAGUCAGAGAACUUAAGUUAGGGAGGCAUGCUGUACAAAGUAUAAAAAUGUUUCAAAGGAUAGAAUUGUUAAAUUUCUGUUGUUUUAAGCCACCCAUUGUGUAGUACUCUGUUAUAGUAGCCCAAGAAAACCAAUACACUGUAUAAUGGAACAUUAUUUAGCCAUAAAAAAUGAAUUAAGGGCUGAUACAUGCUACAAUGCAGACAGACUUUAAGAAAACAUAAUGUUAAGUACAAGAAACCAGACACACAAGACUAUUUAUUAUGUGGUUCCACUUAUAUGAGACGUCUAAAACAGAAAAAUCUAUAGAGAUAAGCAAAUUAGCACAUGUCAAGGGCUGGGGUGAAAUGUAGAGUGACUACUAAUGAGUACACAAUUUUUUUUGAGAUGAUGAAAAUGUUCUAAAAUUGUCGU
rnacentral:lncRNA from 10 species